GGGAGGGAGGCCCGCCGCUGGAGCUUUGUUGUGCGGGGGAGGAGAACGGGCCUGGCGGCCUCCUCCCCUCCCGGAGCACCGUGCCAGGCACCUGCCCAGGUGGAGCGGCACCUGCCUGGAACCGAACGCUGGAGAGGCGGGGAGGUUUCUGCCAAAUCGACUGAACGGGCCUGGCCUGGGCUUGAAUCUCUGUCAACUGUGUGACUUUGGGAUCAGGACAAACCCUCUCUGGAGCUCAGGUCACCCACCUGACAACGGAUAGGAACAAUGGAUGUGCUAAUACACGCACCUCAUCUGCUCCAGGUAUUUCCUACAGAGAAGUAAAUUUGUGUUGACAAGACUUGUACAAGCUUCAUUAAUAAUAGCCAAACACUGGGAGAAACCAAAUGUCCAACUACAGGUGAAUGGAGAAACUAUAUUGGCUAUAUUGUGGCAUACCUGCACAGUGGAAUUACUACUCAGGAAGGAAAAAGAAGGAAGUAUUGAGAUGUGCAGGAAUGUGGAAAAUCUCAGAAUAUUUUGUUGAGCAAGAGAAGCCAGACACAAAAGACAAUCUACUGCAGGAUUCCAUUUAUACAAAAUUCAAAAACAGACAAAACUUGGUUCCAGUCAAGAUGGUGGAGUGGUAGGACCACAAGCUUGCCUGUCCUUGCGACUACAACGAAACCACAGCUGAAUGCUAAACAACCAUCAAAAAAAAAA